rnacentral:rRNA from 1 species
UGGGGAAUAUUGGACAAUGGGCGAAAGCCUGAUCCAGCCAUGCCGCGUGUGUGAAGAAGGUCUUCGGAUUGUAAAGCACUUUAAGUUGGGAGGAAGGGCAGUUACCUAAUACGUGAUUGUUUUGACGUUACCGACAGAAUAAGCACCGGCUAACUCUGUGCCAGCAGCCGCGGUAAUACAGAGGGUGCAAGCGUUAAUCGGAAUUACUGGGCGUAAAGCGCGCGUAGGUGGUUAGUUAAGUUGGAUGUGAAAUCCCCGGGCUCAACCUGGGAACUGCAUUCAAAACUGACUGACUAGAGUAUGGUAGAGGGUGGUGGAAUUUCCUGUGUAGCGGUGAAAUGCGUAGAUAUAGGAAGGAACACCAGUGGCGAAGGCGACCACCUGGACUGAUACUGACACUGAGGUGCGAAAGCGUGGGGAGCAAACAGGAUUAGAUACCCCCGUAGUCCCUGAGCGGGCUGGCAAGGCG